rnacentral:rRNA from 1 species
AUUGUUAGAUCCAUGGAUUGUUGAAAUAUUCUUGGAAGAUUUGUUGUUAGUGGUUAAAGGUUAAUCAAACUUGGAUAUAGACGGUUAUCUAUGAAAUCUAUUCA